rnacentral:rRNA from 1 species
UACGUAGGGAGCAAGCGUUGUCCGGAAUCAUUGGGCGUAAAGCGCGCGUAGGUGGCCUCAUAAGUCCGCUGUGAAAGUCAAAGGCUCAACCUUUGAAAGCCGGUGGAUACUGUGGGGCUAGAGUACGGAAGAGGCGAGUGGAAUUCCUGGUGUAGCGGUGGAAUGCGCAGAUAUCAGGAGGAACACCUAUUGCGAAGGCAGCUCGCUGGGACGUAACUGACGCUGAGACGCGAAAGCGUGGGGAGCAAACAGG